rnacentral:lncRNA from 1 species
CAUGUGCGCCACUUGUCAUCAUCAGAUUUACUCUCAAGAAUGGGGGAGUUGGUACAUGCUUUCUUUAGAUUGUUAAUUAUAUUCGUCUAAAUUACGUACCGUUUUCAUCAUUGCGCUCCUUGCAUUGAUACCUUUAAAAUUAGAGCUGUUUUUUAUAUGUUUCAAAGAACUUUUUUAGCGUAAUUUGUACCUACUAUUAUAGCAAACUUGACACUGAAUCUGAAUUCAUCAAAUGUCUGGCAUGGAUCUACUUCAUUGAGCGGUGUAGUACGCCCAUGCACAUGUGCUCCUGAUGGCAGUAUCAAACGACAUUAAAACAACCAUCACAUGGUUGCUGCAUCACAUGGUAGUAUGAGAUGUCACGAUAAUGGUGCCCUAUUAAGGUUGAGAAGCGAAACGGAACAUGAUCAAAAUUUCACAAAGAAACCAACAUUCAUUCAUAUCUAAGGCUGAGCAAGCGGUAGAGCUUAGUCAUUUGUAGAUCCAAACCGGAAUACAUCACAUACAUAACAGACUCAACUGUUGAACUCAGAUGAUACUACUUUUGCGCUGCUAUUUUGUACCCACGGAGAUCCUAGGAUUUGGAAGCAUCGGGAUUUAUAACCACUAAACACUCAAGGAAACUGGUGCUGAAUUGGACGAUUAACCAGACUAUUACUAAGGCCUCCCUUGGUUCAUAGGUUAGUACUCUUGUAUCAGUAAUCAGACUAACAGAGUCGGACGUAUAUAUUGAUAGCACCCUUGGAUCAUCAAGACCUGCAAAGUCAGUAUAUUCAAUUCGACUGAGCUGGCCAGCAUCAUCGACCAGAGAACCCACAAGCAGCACGUUCUAGGGCAAGGCAAGAUGAAGUUUCUGGAGGAUGCUAUGCAAAAGAUGGGCUUUAUUCAUCGGUGGGUACAAGAUUAUGGUGUGCGUGACCACGGUGAGAUACUCUGUAAAAUUUAA